GAUGAACGCUGGCGGCGUGCCUAAUACAUGCAAGUCGAGCGAAUGGAUUAAGAGCUUGCUCUUAUGAAGUUAGCGGCGGACGGGUGAGUAACACGUGGGUAACCUGCCCAUAAGACUGGGAUAACUCCGGGAAACCGGGGCUAAUACCGGAUAACAUUUUGAACCGCAUGGUUCGAAAUUGAAAGGCGGCUUCGGCUGUCACUUAUGGAUGGACCCGGGUCGCAUUAGCUAGUUGGUGAGGGAACGGCUCACCAAGGCAACGAUGCGUAGCCGACCUGAGAGGGUGAUCGGCCACACUGGGACUGAGACACGGCCCAGACUCCUACGGGAGGCAGCAGUAGGGAAUCUUCCGCAAUGGACGAAAGUCUGACGGAGCAACGCCGCGUGAGUGAUGAAGGCUUUCGGGUCGUAAAACUCUGCUGUUAGGGAAGAACAAGUGCUAGUUGAAUAAGCUGGCACCUUGACGGUACCUAACCAGAAAGCCACGGCUAACUACGUGCCAGCAGCCGCGGUAA
rnacentral:rRNA from 1 species